GAAAACGUCGCAACUCUAAGGCGGUGGUCUGCAACAAAAGUGUAACAAACGCCGAACGUCGCGUCCAGCGUCUGCUGACGCUGUACGCGGCGCAGCGCUGUUUGCGAUGGUCACUCAGAAGUGUUUUAGUUUCGCGCAUGCGCUCAAUGUGAAUGGACUUGAGCGAUUAAAAUAUGGAUGAACAAACAAUUUUAAGAGUUCUUCUCGAAGAGGAAGAAGAUGAUGAUCUCGUUCUACAAAUGUUAUUGAAACAGGACAGAAGAAAAAGACGUCACGAUCUUUUCGUGAAGAGAGAGGUCGAGGGUUGUUUCAAUACGUUGAUAAAAAAACAUUUAUGUACUAACGAUGUCAAGUUUAAAGAAUACUUUCGUAUUUCAAAGGAUCAGUUUACCAAUUUUACCAUCUUGUAUGUAAAAACGCGCGCGUCCGGUACGCCAGAAUGCUCCGAAAUGACUGCGUAGGCGGCGUACGACCGAUGGACGCGGCGCACGGCGUUCGUGCGCCGCGUCAGGCGUCUGAGAGAGACCACUAUAGUGCAUUUCCAUAGUAAGCAUUCAUAGGCCGCGUAUAGCGUCACGUCGGACGCGACCUACGGCGUUUGUUACAGACCACCGCCUAAGACUCGCGUACUGAGGGUUCCGUACUCGGGUAUUUUUUCCAAC